ensembl:lncRNA
AUGGAGCGGCUGAGAGCCCUUCGAGGUGAGGUCCCCCUCCACCUCUGUGGACACCGUGACACUGCCCGAGCACGUGUGUGCCACCAGUGUCCGUUUUGGACGUGCCAGCAGCACUGUCCUUGCUCUGCUGAGUGCAGCUGCUCACCGUGGUCUCCCCAGUGCCCCGGCAAGGGGAAGGCUCUCUCCCCUUUCCCCGCCGACCGCACAUGUGCCAGCGCAGCCCAGCCUGCGCUGUGGGGCUGGAGGAGCGUUUCUCCCACAGCUGGCCGCAUGCUCGCCCCUGGCUCCAAGCAACACCAGCGGCAGCUGCUCUGCUUUUUCUUUCCAGGUCUCUUUGCUUGUGUGGGCUGCAUGCCCAGAUGUACGCGUCGUCGCAGGGGCAGAGGCAGGGUGGCGAGCUCCGUCCCUGCCUGUCCCGUGACGUUGCUGCUGCAGCGCCUGCAAGACAAGGAGGUGAGCUGGGGACAUGCAAACAUCAGUCCUUGCCCCGGCCCAGUGCCACGGUCCCGUGGGUGCCAGGCCCACAGCCCAGGGUUUUGUGCCACCCUCGCGCCUGCCUGGCCCCGGCAGCACAUCGACAUAGCCACGGGUGGCAGCGGGCGGCUCCCUGGGAACAAGGGCAAAGCGAGCGUGAUCGAUCCCUGUCCCCAGGGUGACCGAGCGCAGACGUACGGCGAGCUGGAGAGUGCCCUGUGGGAAGAGGUCAGCCGCCCGCCGUGCGGAGUGGUGAACCGGCUGCUGGCAGAGGUGUCCCAGGACCUGACGGCGGCCCAGGGCGCGACAGACAACCUGAGGAUGGCUGCCAGCAAUGUCCUGGUGGCUCUGGCCCGCUCGCACUUCAGCUUGGUGAUGGCCGAGCUCCAGGGCCACCUGAAGGCCGUGGGGGAGAUGUGCAAGGAGUUUGUGCUCAUCACCCUCAGCAAGCUGUUCAGCAGCUACGGUACAGCACCCUCAGCCUCCUGACGCCUAUGACAACCGGGCAAAGGGCUCUCUCCCCUCUGCGCGUCAUCUGCGUAGAGCCGGGGGCUGCAGCCCUGCAGGCCCUCCUCCCUCGCUGCCGGGGCUCUGACCGUGGCCCUCUCCUUCCCCCCCGCAGCUCCGCAGUGCAUCGCCUUCAUGUGCCUGACCCUGGCCAGCCUGCGCAGUGUGGCCGGCCAGGUGAGGAGCGGCCGCACCCUGCGCGUCGCUUGUGCUGGUGAGUGCCGGCCCCUGGGCAGGGGGGCUC